CUCACCAGUGAUGAGUUGAAUACCGCCCCAGUCUGAUAGCUGUGAAGAAAGGUAUUUACUGAGUUGUG